GCCUGACCAGCCAUGCCGCGUGCAGGAUGACGGUCCUAUGGAUUGUAAACUGCUUUUGUACGGGAAGAAACACUCCUUCGUGAAGGAGCUUGACGGUACCGUAAGAAUAAAGAUCGGCUAACUCCGUGCCAGCACCCGCGGUAAUACGGAGGAUCCGAGCGUUAUCCGGAAUCAUUGGGUUUAAAGGGUCCGUAGGCGGUCUGGUAAGUCAGUGGUGAAAGCCCAUCGCUCAACGGUGGAACGGCCAUUGAUACUGCUGGACUUGAAUUACUGGGAAGCAACUAGAAUAUGUAUUGUAGCGGUGAAAUGCUUAGAGAUUACAUGGAAUACCAAUUGCAAAGGCAGGUUGCUACCAUUGGAUUGACGCUAAUGGACGAAAGCGUGGGUAGCGAACAGGAUUAGAUACCCUGGUAGUCCACGCCGUAAACGAUGGAUACUAACUGUUGGGAGCAAUCUCAUUGGCUAAGCGAAAGUGAUAAGUAUCCCACCUGGGGAGUACGUUCGCAAGAAUGAAACUCAAAGGAAUUGACGGGGGCCCGCACAAGCGGUGGAGCAUGUGGUUUAAUUCGAUGAUACGCGAGGAACCUUACCAAGGCUUAAAUGCAGACUGACCGAUUUGGACACAGAUCUUUCG
rnacentral:rRNA from 1 species